CCUACAGAUUUCACAUUAAAGUAUCCAAAAUUCUUCAAUAACUGUUCACUAUAGUGGGAUUGGCUCAUAAUAAUUUUUUUUUGAUUUUUCAAUGAUCUUGAUGUUGAGAAUAACAUUUGCUUGUCCAAGAUUUUUUAUAUUAAAAUUUUUAUUUAGUAAAUUCUUCACAUCAUAUAUCACAUUCAUAUUCGUAUCAAAAAUUAAAAUAUCAUCAACAUACAAACAUAACAUCACUAUAUGUUGAUCAUAUUUAUUCGAAUACACAGAUUCAUCAGACAUGUUCACAUGAAAACCAUUUGAUACAACUAUAGA
rnacentral:lncRNA from 1 species